rnacentral:rRNA from 1 species
AUUGAACGCUGGCGGCAGGCCUAACACAUGCAAGUCGAACGAGUGGCGGACGGGUGAGUAAUGUCUGGGAAACUGCCCGAUGGAGGGGGAUAACUACUGGAAACGGUAGCUAAUACCGCAUACCAUCGGAUGUGCCCUGAUGGGAUUAGCUAGUAGGUGGGGUAACGGCUCACCAAGGCGACGAUCCCUAGCUGGUCUGAGAGGAUGACCGGCCACACUGGAACUGAGACACGGUCCAGACUCCUACGGGAGGCAGCAGUAGGGAAUAUUGCACAAUGGGCGCAAGCCUGAUGCAGCCAUGCCGCGUGUGUGAAGAAGGCCUUCGGAUUGUAAAAUACUGUCAGCAGGGAAGCGUUACUCAAAGAGAAAGCACCGGCUAACUACGUGCCAGCAGCCGCGGUAAUAC